rnacentral:rRNA from 1 species
UCCGUAGGUGAACCUGCGGAGGGAUCAUUACUGAGCGAGGGCCUCCGGGUCCGACCUCCAACCCCCUGUCAUCCGACCACUUGCCUUGGGGGCGACCCGGCCUUCGGGCGUCGGGGCCCCCAAUGGACCCGCCAACCCUGCAUCUGUGCGUCCGAGUCAACGAUUGAAUCAAUCAAAACUUUCAACAACGGAUCUCUUGGUUCUGGCAUCGAUGAAGAACGCAGCGAAAUGCGAUAAGUAAUGUGAAUUGCAGAAUUCAGUGAAUCAUCGAAUCUUUGAACGCACAUUGCGCCCUCUGGUAUUCCAGGGGGCAUGCCUGUUCGAGCGUCAUUUCACCACUCCAGCCUCGCUGGGUCUUGGGCGCCGCGGCCUGCCUGCGCGCCCCAAUGUCCUCGGCUGGGCCGUCCGUCUCGAAGCGUUGUGGCAACUCAAUCCGCUUGCGAGGUCGGGAGGCCCGUCGCCGUCAAACCACCCAUCACAGGUUGACCUCGGAUCAGGUAGGGAUACCCGCUGAACUUAAGCAUAUCAAUAAGCGGAGGAAAAGAAACCAACAGGGAUUGCCCCAGUAACGGCG